AAGCGGUGGAUGAUGUGGAUUAAUUCGAUGCAACGCGUAAGAACCUUACUACCCUUGACAUGUCCGGAACUUGCCAGAGAUGGCUUGGUGCCGAAAGGGAAUCGGAACACAGGUGCUGCAUGGCUGUCGUCAGCUCGUGUCGUGAGAUGUUGGGUUAAGUCCCGCAACGAGCGCAACCCUUAUCAUUAGUUGCUACGCAAGGGCACUCUAAUGAGACUGCCGGUGACAAACCGGAGGAAGGUGGGGAUGACGUCAAGUCCUCAUGGCCCUUAUGGGUAGGGCUUCACACGUCAUACAAUGGUCGGUACAGAGGGUUGCCAAGCCGCGAGGCGGAGCCAAUCCCACAAAGCCGAUCGUAGUCCGGAUUGUUCUCUGCAACUCGAGAGCAUGAAGUCGGAAUCGCUAGUAAUCGCAGGUCAGCAUACUGCGGUGAAUACGUUCCCGGGUCUU
rnacentral:rRNA from 1 species